UACGUAGGGGGCGAGCGUUGUCCGGAUUUAUUGGGCGUAAAGAGCUCGUAGGCGGUUCGAUAAGUCGGAUGUGAAAUCUCCACGCUCAACGUGGAGGGGCCAUUCGAUACUGUCGUGACUCGAGUCCGGUAGGGGAGUGUGGAAUUCCCGGUGUAGCGGUGAAAUGCGUAGAUAUCGAGAGGAACACCUGCGGCGAAGGCGGGUUGCUGGGCUGAUACUGACGCUGAGGCGCGAAAGCCAGGGGAGCGAACGGG
rnacentral:rRNA from 1 species